rnacentral:rRNA from 1 species
GACGAACGCUGGCGGCGUGCUUAACACAUGCAAGUCGAACGGAAAGGCCCUGCUUUUGUGGGGUGCUCGAAUGGCGAACGGGUGAGUAACAAGUGAGUAACCUGCCCUUGACUUUGGGAUAACUUCAGGAAACUGGGGCUAAUACCGGAUAGGAGCUCCUGCUGCAUGGUGGGGGUUGGAAAGUUUCGGCGGUUGGGGAUGGACUCGCGGCUUAUCAGCUUGUUGGUGGGGUAGUGGCUUACCAAGGCUUUGACGGGUAGCCGGCCUGAGAGGGUGACCGGCCACAUUGGGACUGAGAUACGGCCCAGACUCCUACGGGAGGCAGAAGUGGGGAAUAUUGCACAAUGGGCGGAAGCCUGAUGCAGCAACGCCGCGUGCGGGAUGACGGCCUUCGGGUUGUAAACCGCUUUCGCCUGUGACGAAGCGUGAGUGACGGUAAUGGGUAAAGAAGCACCGGCUAACUACGUG